AUGAGUCUCAAUUGUCUUUCAUGCAGCCAAGUUUUGCAAAGGACAGACUCAUUUCAAGAGUUAUUCCAAGAAGAAGAAUAUAGGGAAAGAAGUAAAAAGGUCGAAAGAACCUGGUCGGGAAAUAUACCGCCUCCGAACAAAGAGAUGACCAAAGGCGGACCUCUGACUAAGAUUAAGGCCAAUCAUCGCCGCACUCACAGUACCGGAAAUAUGCCUUUUUCAAGCAACGGACCGAAGUUGGUGAGGAGUAGUGGAAUGAGAAGAGAUUGGAGUUUUGAGAACUUGGCUGAGAUACAACAAGAGCAAAGAGUGACUUGCCAUUAA